AGUACAAUUGCUGGGUGAUAUGGUAACUUUAAUUUUUUUGAGAUAUUGCCAAAUAGCUUUCCAAAAAUUCUUACCAUUUUACAAUCCCAUCAGCAGC
rnacentral:pre_miRNA from 1 species